ACCUACGGGACGCAGCAGUGAGGGAUAUUGGUCAAUGGGGGAAACCCUGAACCAGCAACGCCGCGUGAGGGAAGACGGUUUUCGGAUUGUAAACCUCUGUCCUCUGUGAAGAUAAUGACGGUAGCAGAGGAGGAAGCUCCGGCUAACUACGUGCCAGCAGCCGCGGUAACACGUAGGGAGCAAGCGUUGUCCGGAUUUACUAGGUGUAAAGGGUGCGUAGGCGGCCCUGCAAGUCAGAAGUGAAAUCCAUGGGCUCAACCCCGGAACUGCUUUGGAAACUGUGCGGCUCGAGUGCGGGAGAGGUA
rnacentral:rRNA from 1 species